CGAGGGGUCUGGCCCUAUGCUUAGGUCCUAAGUAAAAAAGUCAACAAAAGAAAAGUGUUGAGCGAUUCUUUGCAUAAGGAGACCAUGGGAGACUGCGAGCUCAUAGUUUGAGUUCCUUGGUGCGGAGCUGCAGGUGCACAGCCAACCAAUGAUUAAGGCCUUGAGGUUCCUCUCCGCUCAGAUACACAUCUUUUUAAAAGCUUUUGGCUUUUGUCAGUUGUGCAACCCAGGACUGUCUUAAGGACCCGGGAGCCAUCUUUUGAAAUGUAAUCAACCAAGAAGAUAACACCCCUCUCUUCCAGUCUGUGGAAAGGAACUGGGGACCAUCUUUUUGAAAUACAAUCAUCAAGGAAGACAGCGCCUCUAUCUCCCAGUUUCUGUGGUCAAGUAGGAGCCCAACUUUGUCCAAGUUGCAAAACUAUCUUCUGUU